rnacentral:rRNA from 1 species
GACAGAGGGGGCCAGCGUUGUCCGGAUUGACUGGGCGUACAGCGCGCGCAGGUGGAUACUGACGUGCCGUGUGACAGCCAGGAGCUCAACUUCUGGUGGCCACGGUAAACGCAGUGUCUGGAGGGUGCGAGAGGCAUGUGGAAUACCCGGUGGAGCGGUGAAAUGCGUAGAGAUCGGGUGGAACACCAGUGGCGAAGGCGGCA